rnacentral:rRNA from 1 species
UACGUAGGGGGCAAGCGUUGUCCGGAUUUAUUGGGCGUAAAGAGCGUGUAGGCGGCUUGGUAGGUCCGCUGUGAAAACUCGAGGCUCAACCUCGAGAUGUCGGCGGAAACCACUUGGCUAGAGUCCGGAAGAGGAGAGUGGAAUUCCUGGUGUAGCGGUGGAAUGCGCAGAUAUCAGGAGGAACACCGGUGGCGAAGGCGGUUCUCUGGGCAUUACCUGACGCUGGAGACGCGAAAGCGUGGGGAGCGAACAGG